rnacentral:rRNA from 1 species
AACGAACGCUGGCGGCAUGCCUAACACAUGCAAGUCGAACGAGAUCUUCGGGUCUAGUGGCGCACGGGUGCGUAACGCGUGGGAAUCUGCCCUUUGGUUCGGAAUAACAGUUGGAAACGACUGCUAAUACCGGAUGAUGACGAAAGUCCAAAGACUCAUCGCCAGAGGAUGAGCCCGCGUAGGAUUAGCUAGUUGGUGUGGUAAAGGCGCACCAAGGCGACGAUCCUUAGCUGGUCUGAGAGGAUGAUCAGCCACACUGGGACUGAGACACGGCCCAGACUCCUACGGGAGGCAGCAGUGGGGAAUAUUGGACAAUGGGCGAAAGCCUGAUCCAGCAAUGCCGCGUGAGUGAUGAAGGCCUUAGGGUUGUAAAGCUCUUUUACCCGGGAUGAUAAUGACAGUACCGGGAGAAUAAGCUCCGGCUAACUCCGUGCCAGCCGCCGCAGUAAAAC